rnacentral:rRNA from 1 species
UACGGGGGGAGCAAGCGUUGUUCGGAUUUACUGGGCGUAAAGGGCGCGUAGGCGGCACCGCAAGUCGACUGUGAAAUCUCCGGGCUUAACUCGGAAAGGUCAGCCGAUACUGCGGGGCUAGAGUGCAGAAGGGGCAACUGGAAUUCUUGGUGUAGCGGUGAAAUGCGUAGAUAUCAAGAGGAACACCUGAGGUGAAGACGGGUUGCUGGGCUGACACUGACGCUGAGGCGCGAAAGCCAGGGGAGCAAACGGG